ensembl:lncRNA
AUGUUUCGAAACAAACAUUACAAUGUUUCUGAUGAAGAGGCUCUUCAAGCUUUCCACAAUGCCAUUCAAUAUCUAAAAGGGGAGCAACGUACAUCAGCUCAGUUCAUAAAGUGUGACAGCCGAGAGCUCACAGAGAUCAUCCGAUGUGUAAACCGAUAUUUCAUUGAAGAAAGCAUAGAUAUAAUCGGCCUUGAAAUAGCUAAAAAAGUGAUGGAUAGUAUUAAUCAAGGCACAGAGCCUCCAAAACCAGACGGGUAUAUUUUUUCAUGGGAUGUACACUUGCUGUCUGAAGUUGAUUGCCUCAGGUUUAACUAUUCAGAGAGAAAUGAAAUAUUUAGAAAUGAGAGUGAUGAUUACAUAUUUCCAGAGUGGGAGAGAAUGGGGCAAAACUGUUAUCGCUGGUACAUUUUUCGUGCACAGGGUAAAUACAGCGGGAAGGACUAUUACGCCGUACAAUUAAAAAAGACUACUACAAUCGGGGGUAGUGUUCGUGAAUUUAAAGGUGAUUUCAGAGCCAGCGAAGAUCCUGCCCUUCUGAAACGAUUUCAAGAUGCCAAAAUAAACGGGAACUGUACUAGUGAAUUCCAGAGGACAGCUGCAUAUAGCUGGAGCAGAGAUGGCACACCUCCUGCGCACCCAUACUUCAUUGUGGCUCAACUCUACUGGCCUCGUAUUCCACUCAAUUCAAACUACCAGCUGGAACAAAUCACAGAUAAAGUAGCCCUAAGGGUACUUUACGAUGAGAUACCUGCUCUAGAGGAAAAAAGAACAACUGAUCUUAAAACAUACACUUGGUUUUUAAACAAACCAGAGAACGCGGUUAAUGACUUCCCAGAACUGAAAGAUUAUUCUGAGGGUCAGACUUUCUCUGAUGAUUACUUGCGUCCUUCAACAGAACCCCUUCAAACUGAUGGUUUUACUUAUGAGUGGUCAAGAGAAGAACAUGAAAGCACACACCAAGACUUCACCUUAAUAUUCAGAGCGAGGCCAACCUGUGAAAGAGUUCCUCAGGUCAUUACAGAGGAAACGAGAAUAAGAUUGGAUUACUGGCAGUAUAUCAAAGAGUUUGUGUUCUUUGGUGGGUCACGACGUGAAGGAACAGUGCUUGCCCCGGAUCCAGCUUGGAUUGAUCAGGCACACAGGAAUGGGGUCGCCAUAUUUGGCACAGUUUUUUUGCCACCUUUGACCCUUGGGGGAGACAAGAAAGACACGGAAGAACUGGCAAAACUGGAGAACCUACAGAAAUUAGUGGACAUUGCCCACCGAUUAAACUUUGAAGGGUGGUUUCUGAAUGUCGAAAGCUUCAAAAGAUAUGAUGAUUCUUGCUUAAAUGAUCUGAAACUCGCAAUUCAGAAAAUGGAUCUCAGGGGUAAAGAAAUUAUUUGGUAUUUACCCAUGUGUGAUGAAAUUGACCCCAAAUCAAAAGGAGUAAGGAUGACAUGUGAUAAAAAAAAUAAAUAA